rnacentral:rRNA from 1 species
UACGUAGGGGGCUAGCGUUGUCCGGAAUCAUUGGGCGUAAAGAGCGUGUAGGCGGCCCGGUAAGUCCGCUGUAAAAGUCAAAGGCUCAACCUUUGAAUGUCAGUGGAUACUGCCGGGCUAGAGUCCGGAAGAGGAGAGUGGAAUCCUGGUGUAGCGGUGGAAUGCGCAGAUAUCAGGAGAACACCAAUGGCGAAGGCAGCUCGCUAGGGACGUACUGACGCUGAGACGCGAAAGCGUGGGGGAGCGAAACAGG